GAAAUGCGAUAAGUAAUGUGAAUUGCAGAAUUCAGUGAAUCAUCGAAUCUUUGAACGCAUCUUGCGCUCCUUGGUAUUCCUUGGAGCAUGCCUGUUUGAGUAUCAUGAAAUCUUCACAGUAAAUCUUUUGUUAACUCAAUUGGUUUCUACUUUGGUAUUGGAGGUCUUUGCAGCUUCACACCUGCUCCUCUUUGUUCAUUAGCUGGAUCUCAGUGUUAUGCUUGGUUCCACGCGGCGUGAUAAGUUAUCUAUCGCUGAGGACACUGUAAAAGGUGGCCAAGGUAAAUGCAGAUGAACCGCUUCUAAUAGUCCAUUGACUUGGACAAUACUUUUAUGAUCUGAUCUCAAAUCAGGUAGGACUACCCGCUGAACUUAAGC
rnacentral:misc_RNA from 1 species